GAUGAACGCUGGCGGCGUGCCUAAUACAUGCAAGUCGAGCGAAUGGAUUGAGAGCUUGCUCUUAUGAAGUUAGCGGCGGACGGGUGAGUAACACGUGGGUAACCUGCCCAUAAGACUGGGAUAACUCCGGGAAACCGGGGCUAAUACCGGAUAACAUUUUGAACCGCAUGGUUCGAAAUUGAAAGGCGGCCUCGGCUGUCACUUAUGGAUGGACCCGCGUCGCAUUAGCUAGUUGGUGAGGUAACGGCUCACCAAGGCAACGAUGCGUAGCCGACCUGGGAGGGUGAUCGGCCACACUGGGACUGAGACACGGCCCAGACUCCUACGGGAGGCAGCAGUAGGGAAUCUUCCGCAAUGGACGAAAGUCUGACGGAGCAACGCCGCGUGAGUGAUGAAGGCUUUCGGGUCGUAAAACUCUGUUGUUAGGGAAGAACAAGUGCUAGUUGAAUAAGCUGGCACCUUGACGGUACCUAACCAGAAAGCCACGGCUAACUACGUGCCAGCAGCCGCAGUAA
rnacentral:rRNA from 1 species